rnacentral:lncRNA from 1 species
GCAAACAUUUCAAGUACAAGGGGUCCAGAACUUGCAGAAUUUGCAAAUACAGAAUACCGCUGCCCAACAAAUUACUUUGACGCCUGUUCAGACACUCACGCUUGGUCAAGUUGCAGCAGGUGGAGCCUUGACUUCAACUCCAGUUAGUCUAAGCACUGGUCAGUUGCCAAAUCUACAGACAGUUACAGUAAAUUCUAUAGAUUCUACUGGUAUACAGCUACACCCAGGAGAGAAUGCCGACAGUCCUGCAGAUAUUAGGAUCAAGGAAGAAGAGCCUGAUCCGGAAGAGUGGCAGCUCAGUGGUGAUUCUACACUGAAUACCAAUGACCUAACACACUUACGAGUACAAGUGGUAGAUGAAGAAGGGGACCAACAACAUCAAGAAGGAAAAAGACUUCGGAGGGUAGCUUGCACCUGUCCCAACUGUAAAGAAGGUGGUGGGAGAGGUACCAAUCUUGGGAAAAAGAAGCAACACAUUUGUCAUAUACCAGGAUGUGGUAAAGUCUAUGGGAAAACCUCACAUCUGAGAGCACAUCUCCGUUGGCAUUCUGGGGAGCGCCCUUUUAUUUGUAACUGGAUGUUCUGUGGUAAAAGAUUUACACGGAGUGAUGAAUUACAGAGGCACAGAAGAACACAUACAGGUGAGAAGAAAUUUGUUUGUCCAGAAUGUUCAAAACGCUUUAUGAGAAGUGACCACCUUGCCAAACAUAUUAAAACACAUCAGAAUAAAAAAGUCAUUCACUCUAGCAGCACAGUGCUAGCAUCUGUGGAAGCUGGGAGAGAUGAUGCCUUGAUUACUGCAGGAGGAACAACACUUAUCCUUGCAAAUAUUCAACAGGGGUCUGUGUCAGGGAUAGGAACUGUCAAUGCUUCUGCCACCAGCAAUCAAGACAUCCUUACCAACACUGAAAUACCUUUACAGCUUGUCACAGUUUCUGGAAAUGAGACAAUGGAGUAAAUAUUACACAAAUACUUAUUCAUUGUGGUUAUUUUUAUACAGUAGUGAGAAGAAUAUUGUUCCUAAGUUCUUAGAUAUCUUUUUAUUGAUGUGCAAAAAUUUUUGGAUUGACAGUAACUUGGUUAUACAUGACACUGAAAUGCCUUACUUUGUAUGAUAUUCCAUAGUAUAUUAAAAAUGGUAAAAUUUGCAUGGGUUUUGUAGGUACUUUUGGAAUCUAGAAGAAAUGAAAUUUUACCAAGUUAUAUAAAGAGAAAAUUGAA